rnacentral:rRNA from 1 species
UGCGUAGGCGGUUUAUUAAGUCAGUGGUGAAAGACGGUCGCUCAACGAUUGCAGUGCCAUUGAUACUGGUAGACUUGAGUGUGAUUGAGGUAGCUGGAAUGGAUAGUGUAGCGGUGAAAUGCAUAGAUAUUAUCCAGAACACCGAUUGCGAAGGCAUUGUACUGGCCAACAACUGACGCUGAGGCACGAAAGUGUGGGGAUCGAACAGGAUUAGAUACCCGGGUA